rnacentral:rRNA from 1 species
AACGAACGCUGGCGGCGCGCCUAAUACAUGCAAGUCGAACGAGAAGCUGUAGCAAUACAGUUGUACAGUGGCGAACGGGUGAGGAAUACAUGGGUGACCUACCCUCGAGUGGGGAAUAACCAGCCGAAAGGUUGGCUAAUACCGCGUACGCUUCCCAGUCUACGGGUUGGGAAGGAAAGCGAUGCCGUGGGUAUCGCGCUCAAGGUUGGGCUCAUGUCCUAUCAGCUGUUGGUGGGGUAACGGCUCACCAAGGCAACGACGGGUAGCUGGUCUGAGAGGACGAUCAGCCACACUGGCACUGCGACACGGGCCAGACUCCUACGGGAGGCAGCAGUAAGGAAUAUUGCGCAAUGGGCGAAAGCCUGACGCAGCGACGCCGCGUGGGGGAUGAAGGUCUUCGGAUUGUAAACCCCGUUUCGGGAGGGAAGAUGGAACGAGCAAUCGUUCGGACGGUACCUCCAGAAGCAGCCA